AGCGAACGCUGGCGGCAGGCUUAACACAUGCAAGUCGAGCGGGCAUCCUUGUGGUGUCAGCGGCAGACGGGUGAGUAACGCGUGGGAACGUGCCCUUCGGUUCGGAAUAACUCAGGGAAACUUGAGCUAAUACCGGAUACGUGCGAGAGCAGAAAGGUUUAUCUGCCGAAGGAUCGGCCCGCGUCUGAUUAGCUAGUUGGUGAGGUUAUGGCUCACCAAGGCGACGAUCAGUAGCUGGUCUGAGAGGAUGAUCAGCCACACUGGGACUGAGACACGGCCCAGACUCCUACGGGAGGCAGCAGUGGGGAAUAUUGGACAAUGGGGGUAACCCUGAUCCAGCCAUGCCGCGUGAGUGAUGACGGCCUUAGGGUUGUAAAGCUCUUUUCUUCGGGACGAUAAUGACGGUACCGGAGGAAUAAGCCCCGGCUAACUUCGUG
rnacentral:rRNA from 1 species